rnacentral:rRNA from 1 species
AUUGAACGCUGGCGGCAGGCCUAACACAUGCAAGUCGAACGAGUGGCGGACGGGUGAGUAAUGUCUGGGAAACUGCCCGAUGGAGGGGGAUAACUACUGGAAACGGUAGCUAAUACCGCAUACCAUCGGAUGUGCCCAGAUGGGAUUAGCUUGUAGGUGAGGUAACGGCUCACCUAGGCGACGAGCCCUAGCUGGGCUGAGAGGAUGACCAGACACACGGAGAGUGGAACACGGUCCAGACUCCUACGGGAGGCAGCAGUGGGGAAUAUGGCACAAUGGGGGAAAUGCGGAUGCAGCCAUGGCGCGUGUAGGGAGAAGGCCUUCGGGGUGUAAAGUACGUUCCGCGGGGAGGCGUUACCCGCAGAAGAAGCACCGGCUAACUCCGUGCCAGCAGCCGCGGUAAUUC